rnacentral:rRNA from 1 species
UACGUAGGGUGCAAGCGUUAAUCGGAAUUACUGGGCGUAAAGCGUGCGCAGGCGGUUUUGUAAGUCUGUCGUGAAAUCCCCCGGGCUCAACCUGGGGAAUUGCGAUGGAGACUGCAAGGCUAGAAUCUGGCAGAGGGGGGGUAGAAUUCCACGUGUAGCAGUGAAAUGCGUAGAGAUGUGGAGGAACACCGAUGGCGAAGGCAGCCCCCUGGGUCAAGAUUGACGCUCAUGCACGAAAGCGUGGGGAGCAAACAGG